rnacentral:lncRNA from 1 species
GCAGUAAAUUUUGUGGGGAUGCGAUGGGAGCACACAUGUGUCAUGCUUUUGCGUUGCCACCUUCUAAUGGGAGAAACUAUCUACAUAUACGUCAGAUGAGUUCCAAUGACUAACAUAAUACAAUUUUUCUUAAGCCAUGCGAAAACCUUGUAACACAACAAUGUUACUUACAUGUUUUUUUUUCCAAACAAAUACAAUGGCGGAUAAUCAUAUCCUAUUACAACUAAGGCAAUGCAAAACACUGUGCUUGACUAGAAGAAAAUCAAAGAACAAACGAUGAACCUAUAGUCCUAUACCAAUAGAGAAUAAAUAAUAAUUCAGCGUCAGAUUAAGUGUAAUUAAUUGUAUUUUUGUGUGCUACACUACAACGGCGUCGUCUCCUCUCUUUGCUGGAGCCUCUGCAUUUUCCACUCGCGAUUGGUGACCACCUUGUUUCAUGGCGCUGUUGGUGCUGGUGGGCAGAGGGUGUUGGGGUCCCAUGUACUACCUUUACACGAGGCUCCCGCCGGCUUCAUCUGUAGAGGCGGCAGCUUGUGCCACACCUUCCAGACCGACGACGGCAGCACGAUGACCGAGCCGGCGGCGCUGGCCGGGGCCUGCUGCUCGACCCGGCGACCGUCGUCGGCCAGCAGCGGCCUCGCGGCGUCGGCCGGAGGACAAGUCCAAGAGCUCGACAGGACCACGAACAGCAGGAGCAAUGGGACAACAACCUUUGAUCUCGUCAUGGAGUUUACUUGGAUAGCACAGUAAUAUAAACUGAUCUCUCGCUCUCAGUUUUUAGCUUAUCCAGCAGCUACUAAACUUUGGCUUGUGUGGGUUGCUAUCCCUGGCAAGAACUAUAUAUAGGCUGUCAAGCUAUACUUGCUGAAUACAUGAUCAGUUGCUGAUCCUUGGCUUAGCUCUCGUGAGCGCUCAUGGCGGGCUGAAGCAAGCUUUGGAAAUUUCUACGCGCAUGCGACCACACACGAUGCAAGAGUUCUUCUUACGUGUGCGACCAGUCAUGCAUCCUCAGAUGGCAAGAGUUGCAUACUUGCAUGCCUCGUGGUCGUCG